UUGGGGAGAGAAGCUUUUCCGGCUGGCGCGUCGGUGUGUUGCAUCUUUCCCCUCGUCGCGUGGCAUGUGUACAAGCCACGUGGUGUGUGGAUGCUUGCUGUUGCUGUUGCACUUGCUAUUUUCCCGAAAGAUGCCGACGCCACACGACGAUACAGCAAACGAAGUGCAACCCCAGCAGUGAAGACACAACAAAAUAAGUAGCAACACAGCAGCAGCAGCAGAAAAUGGGGGCAAUAUUAUGAAACACACGAUGAAUGGAGCUGAGUUGAGCGAGCUUGUAUACAAGAAGACGAUGAGAGAGCAUCUCCAACUUCUCUGUGUGGGGCCAACACACAACAUGACGACGGGAGGAAAAUCCAACUCAUUUUGUGUUUAUGUAGGAUACUUUUCACGACUUGAUACUUUUGCUCAGUAGUAGUACCUUGGUUCUGGUCGCUGGACCACCGUCGUCGCCGCCGCGUUGCCGUUGUUGUUCCGGGUUGCCCGUAGUACGUUUUAGAUCCGGUCCGCGUCACGUAAUCGUGCACCAUUACACACAUAUCGUCAAGAGUACCUCAACAACCUUCACGCAUAGCACGCAACAUCGAUUGGCACCGGCUAAUCAAUCUCUAGUCAAUCAUCUUGGAACGCACAAUGGACACCGACCGACCGCCCAGUAUCAAGAGCGAGGAAGCCAGCAACGACGAUGCACCGGAAGUGGAACCUGCAAGUCACGGUAAUUGAGUCUGAGCAGCUCUUCAUCAAAACAGUCUCGAACCCCGUAGAAUCGAUCCCCCAACCCCCUUUAAAUGCCCUCGGAGGUCAUCGGAGAAAGUGCCGGCGUCGCUGCCAAAAACCAAAAAAGAUCCGAUAAUGAGGCUAUAAUUCAUCAUUUGAACCUCAUAUCGGAACGGGGCCACGUGCGACAAACGAUUUGACCGACGCCGACGACGAAGCCGACAGGUAAGUUUUUGUUUCACCGCUAUCGGCGACGGCGUUGGACAAAAAACGGCCACCUUUUCCGGGGUGGUGGGUAUCGGAAAACGUCCCCAACUCGGUUGGUGAUAAAUGGUCUGCAAUGUGUCAACGUGAGUGAUUGAGGCGACGGUUCCGAAAUGGGGCAAAAGUUUACUUGAGGAUGAAAUAAGAGGUAAGCGACGGGGUCGACCGAUCGACGGUUCCGGGUUCGAAAUGUUUUGAUGAAUGGUGCGGCGAUGUCGGUGUUUACGGUAAUAAAAUUUCAAAAAUAACAAUUGCUUGCAUUUGAGGAAAAGGGUAUAUUAUAAUACUAAUGUUUAAUCGACAGCUUUGAAACCGAUUCCGUAUCCCAAAUAA